rnacentral:rRNA from 1 species
UACGUAGGGUGCAAGCGUUGUCCGGAAUUAUUGGGCGUAAAGAGCUCGUAGGCGGUUUGUCGCGUCUGCUGUGAAAACCCGAGGCUCAACCUCGGGCCUGCAGUGGGUACGGGCAGACUAGAGUGCGGUAGGGGAGACUGGAAUUCCGUGGUGUAGCGGUGAAAUGCGCGAGAUAUCGAGGAGGAACACCGGUGGCGAAGGCGGGUCUCUGGGCCGAUACUGACGCUGGAGGAGC